rnacentral:rRNA from 1 species
UGGGGAAUAUUGGACAAUGGGCGCAAGCCUGAUCCAGCCAUGCCGCGUGAGUGAAGAAGGCCUUAGGGUUGUAAAGCUCUUUCACCGGUGAAGAUAAUGACGGUAACCGGAUAAGAAGCCCCGGCUAACUUCGUGCCAGCAGCCGCGGUAAUACGAAGGGGGCUAGCGUUGUUCGGAAUUACUGGGCGUAAAGCGCAUGUAGGCGGGUUAUUAAGUUAGGGGUGAAAUCCCGGGGCUCAACCCCGGAACAGCCUUUAAAACUGGUAAUCUUGAGUAUGGAAGAGGUGAGUGGAAUUCCGAGUGUAGAGGUGAAAUUCGUAGAUAUUCGGAGGAACACCAGUGGCGAAGGCGGCUCACUGGUCCAUUACUGACGCUGAGAUGCGAAAGCGUGGGGAGCAAACAGG